AGGGAGGCAGCAGUGAGGAAUAUUGGACAAUGGGCGCAAGCCUGAUCCAGCCAUGCCGCGUGGGUGAAGAAGGCCUUCGGGUUGUAAAGCCCUUUUGUCCGGAAAGAAAUCCUGUCGGCUAACACCCGGCGGGGAUGACGGUACCGGAAGAAUAAGCACCGGCUAACUUCGUGCCAGCAGCCGCGGUAAUACGAAGGGUGCAAGCGUUACUCGGAAUUACUGGGCGUAAAGCGUGCGUAGGUGGUUCGUUAAGUCCGAUGUGAAAGCCCUGGGCUCAACCUGGGAAUGGCAUUGGAUACUGGCGGGCUAGAGUGCGGUAGAGGAUGGCGGAAUUCCCGGUGUAGCAGUGAAAUGCGUAGAGAUCGGGAGGAACAUCUGUGGCGAAGGCGGCCAUCUGGACCAGCACUGACACUGAGGCACGAAAGCGUGGGGAGCAAACAGGAUUAGAUACCCGCGUAGUCCC
rnacentral:rRNA from 1 species